rnacentral:lncRNA from 1 species
AGGACUUUGGAAGUUUGGGCAGAAAGCCCACUGAAUGUUCAAAGCUUGGUGACUGCUCUGUGGGAACCUGGAGGAUAAGUGUGUUGAGAGACGUGCAGAGGAUGUGGAGGCCUAGUUUGUGGGGUUCCAGAGGGAAGUUUGAAUCACUCAGAGACUGAUGGACCUGCUGUAUAUUUGGAGUUAUGAAUCUGCAGUUCUUGUCAGCAAGAAUUGAAGAAUCAGCUGUGAUUAACAAGUGACCCAAACCAAUAAAGUGAACCUUUGCCUCACUGGGAUAAUAGAUACUGGUCAACUGGAGCUAAGAAAUUAGCGAUGAUUCAGAAAGACCAGCAUCACUGAGGUGAAAUCUCUGGGAAGUGCUUCCUGGGAGUCAGCACACAGAAGCUGUGUUCCAGAGGUGGCCAAAGCUGUACACUUAGUAAUGGAAGCGUCACCGUGGUGGGACUGGUUUUGAAGGCAAGAAGGGUCAUGGAAAGCAGCUGGGUUUGGCCCAGGAGUGGCCACUGGUGAAAAUGCAGCCUCAGGAGCAGCUGAAGCUCCAGGACUGAAGGGGUCAUGCAGAGAAUUUGAGUCUUGGCACGAGGAAGAGCCCUGAGGAGGCUCCUGGUGGAGAGCACCCCAGCUGCAGCAGGAGACCCCGGCGUUUUGGAGAUGCCGGUACCAUGGGAAGAUCACCAAGAACAGCAGCAUUGGUGGACUGGAGUCAUCUGGAGCCUAGAAAACAAGCUGCGUGUGCUGCAGAGGGCAGAGCCAGAGAAGUGACUCUGGAGGAGCCCAGAAGAUAGGUCUCACCAUGUAGCUCUGGCUGUCCUGGAGCUAGCUCUGUAGACCAGACUGACCUCAAAUUCACAGAGAUCUGCCUGCUUCUCUGCCUGGGACUAAAGGCAUGUGCCACCACUGCCUGGCAAGGCUGAAUAUUUUAUGACAGAAGAGGACACCAGAUGCCACUGUAGAUGGUUGUGAGCUACCAUGUGGUUGCUGGAAAUUGAACUCAGGACCUCUGGAAGAGCAGCCAGUGCUCUUAACUGCUGAGCCAUCUCUCCAGCCCCAGUUGAAAAUUUUAAAGAGACUGGGUUUUUUGUGUCUGUUUGUUUGAAUUUUUAAAGACUGUGGGACUUUUAAACUUUGGAAUGUUUAUAUUGUAAUGUUGAUAUUCCUGUGUGAUCUUGGGGAUGAACAAGAAAGGAAAGGUUAUAGUUUAGCAGUGAUUGUUUGUCAAGUUGACAAGGGAUCAAUUGUGCUGGCUAGUUUUAUGUCAAUUUGACACAAACUAGGUCAUCUGAAAGGAGGGCAUCUCAUUGUAGAAAAUGCCCCUAAAAUACCUGGUUGUAGGCACUCUCUUAAUUAGAGACUGAUGGGGGAAGGCCCAGCCCAUGGUGGGUGAUGCCAUCCCUGGGCUGGUGGUCCUGGGUUCUACAAGAAGCCAUGAUGAGCAAGCCAGUACGAGGCACUGGUCCAUGGCCUCUGCACCAGUUCCUGCCUCCAGGUUCCCUCUGUGCUUGAGAGUUCCCAGUCAUGACAUCCUUCAAGGAUGGACUCUGAUGUGGAAGUGCUAGCCAAAACCCCUUUCCUCCACAACGUGUUUUCGUCAUGGUGUUUCAUCAUAGCAAUAGUAACUAAGACAUUGACUUUGGAAUAGAGAUAUAGGUAUAUAGAUAUUGAGACAGUGUCUCACUAUAUAGCCCUGCUGGCCUCAAAUUCACAAAGACCCACCUGUCUCUACCUCCUGAGUGCUAGGAUUAAAGGCCUGUGCCACCACAUCCAGAUUAUCAUUUUAAUGUUUGUGUGUGCCCGUGCACAUGGGUGUAUGCACACGCAUGUGUCAUGCUCUAUGUGUGGAAGUCAAAGACAACUUCUCUCCUCCCACUCUGUGGGCUCCUGGGUCCAAAUUCAGGUCAUCAGGCUUGUCAGCAAGUGCCUUUACCUACUGAGCCAUCUCACUAUCCCAACCUUGGGCCUUUUGUCUAAAUCUGAAUUCCCCUCUCUCCACUGCUCUGGCUUGACUCUACAAGUUUUGCAUGCUUUAUUUUUAUUUCUAUGGGCUUAGCAGUGUCUUCUAAUCCCCUUCAUGAUUUAUUCUUUGACCGGAUGUGAUUUAGGAGUGGGUUUUUGGGUUCCGAAUAGUCAUGCUUUUCCUAUAAGUAUUUCUGACUUUGUCUUCCGAGUUCCCACAGGAUACCCGUGUUCCUUGACUCCUAGACCUCUACAUUUUCCAACCCAGGAGUCUUGUCAGUUCUGUGCCCCCUGCCAUCACUGCAUCUGCUCCUAUUCUUUGUCUCUCUCUUUCCUUCAUAAGAACCCUUACCGAGUUGGGGCACUUGAAUGAAGCCGAGUCCUCUCCAUCAUGGGCUCUUCAGCUUAAGUCUCUCUGGUAAGUCACAGGCACAGGAACUGGGAUGCUGUGCCGGUUGUUUCUCUGUUACUAUGAUAAAAUGACAUGACCGAGAGCCACUUACAGAGGGACAAAUGUUUAUUUUGGCUUGUAGUUCCAGAGGGGGAGUUCAUGAUGUCAGGGGAAGCAGUGCCCAGUUAAGAACACUGGCUGCUCUUCCAGGGGACCUGGGUUCAAUUCCCAGAUCCCACACGAUGGCUGACAAUCAUCUGUAACUCCAGUUCCAGGGGAUUCAACAUCUUCUAAGAGUAUGGCGUGCUCAUGAUGUACACACAUACAUGCAGGCAAAAACUCAUACACAUAAACUAAAAAGAAAUCUCAAAAACCCCUAAACAAAAGCACAAAAAACAGUAUAAAAAAAUAAGAUGAUGCUAACACUUGUUACCAAGUGUUGUCGAGUGGGUUGUACCUGUGCUAUUUUCUGGUCAUACUGAAGAUGCUCACAGGAGAAAUACAAGAAUGAAUGAAUGAAUGAAUGAGAGCUGGGAAACAGGGAUUGUGUUGUGAC